GUGCCAGCAGCCGCGGUAAUACGGGGGGGGCAAGCGUUGUUCGGAAUUACUGGGCGUAAAGGGCUCGUAGGCGGCCAACUAAGUCACACGUGAAAUCCCUCGGCUCAACCGGGGAACUGCGUGUGAGACUGGAUGGCUUGAGUUUGGGAGAGGAAUGCGGAAUUCCAGGUGUAGCGGUGAAAUGCGUAGAUAUCUGGAGGAACACCGGUGGCGAAGGCGGCAUUCUGGACCAACACUGACGCUGAGGAGCGAAAGCCAGGGGAGCAAACGGGAUUAGAAACCCCCGUAGUCC
rnacentral:rRNA from 1 species